GCCUGGGUGGCUCAGUCGGUUAAGCGUCUGACUUCGGCUCAGGUCAUGAUCUCACACUUCGUGGGUUCGAGCCCCGCAUUGGGCU
rfam:Felis catus isolate Cinnamon breed Abyssinian chromosome A1, whole genome shotgun sequence.